GGGCCGGUGAUCUAGUUGGCUAUGAUGUCGCCUUCACACGGCGAAAAUCGGGAGUUCGAAUCUCCCCCGGCCCACCA
rnacentral:tRNA from 1 species